GAGGCUAGACAUCAUUCUCAAACAGAUUUAAACUCUUGAAACCUUAUCUGCUGUGGACGGUGAAUUCAGGGCAAGGCUAAGAGUCGGAUGGGAGUGGAGGUUGUGGGUGCGUUUGAGCAAAGGGGGAAUUCAAAUAAGUAGGAACAGCAAAGGAAGCAAGAUUCAAAGGAGUGAAGGAACAGACAGCAGGACACAUAUAGCAGGUGCUCUGGCAGAAUUUUUUACAAUGGAUGCCCUUCUUGACACAACCCUGUAUUUUCUCCGGGCUGGGGACCGGCAUAGGGCGGACCUAGACUUCGCCCCCCCCCCCCCCCCAUGUGGCUACAUGGUUAGGAUAAAGCUCAUCGCACCCCCUGAGAAUUAAACCCUGGUUUGCCCCGUUCCAGUUCAACACACAACCAACUGAGCUAUCCAGCCACAUCAAAUAUUAAGUAAGAGUGAAGAGAGACACAACUUUGCAGACGUGCAUCAAGUCUCACAUCAUUGGCUGCACCUCUACUGCCACCUCUGGGUUAUCGGUGGAAAACGAGAUGGACGAAUGUCAAAGAACUCCACAGCCUGAGCUUAAAAAAAUGAGGGCUGGAGCUUUGCAUGGUGGGAUGGGAGCACUAUUCAUUCUUAGGAGAAAUCUUUGUUUUGGGGGAAUUUAAUUUUUUAACUCUCCUCCUGAUAUAAAACUAUGGUUCAAUCAUGGUGAUGUGCAACAGACCCGUAUGAAGAUUAGGAGGCAAGGGAAAAAAGUGUGUAACUCCAUCAUAAAUAAGAAUAAAGUCCCAUGCCAUCAGCAGGAGACCGCUGCCUGAUGAUUUGUAUGUAAUAUGGCUAUAUCUACAUGUGCAGAGAAAAUAUUUGAGUGAUUCGCUUGUUUUUGUUUCUUGUAUUAAAGCUAAAAUCUACCAGGGA